GACGGAAGGUGCAAGCGUUGCUCGGAAUCACUGGGCGUAAAGCGUGCGCAGGCGGCUAUUUAAGCUUGCUGUGAAAGCCCCGGGCUUAACCUGGGAACUGCAGUGAGGACUGGAUGGCUGGAGUGUGGCAGAGGGGGGUGGAAUUCCACGUGUAGCAGUGAAAUGCGUAGAGAUGUGGAGGAACACCGAUGGCGAAGGCAGCCCCCUGGGCUAACACUGACGCUCAGGCACGAAAGCGUGGGGAGCAAACAGG
rnacentral:rRNA from 1 species